rnacentral:rRNA from 1 species
AGAGUUUGAUCCUGGCUCAGGAUGAACGCUAGCGGGAGGCUUAAUACAUGCAAGUCGAGCGGUAAGGUCUUCGGACCCUAGAGCGGCGCACGGGUGAGUAACGCGUACGAAACCUGCCUUUAAGAGAGGCAUAGCCCUGGGAAACUGGGAGUAAUACCUCAUAGUAUUUAUUUACUGCAUGGUGAAUAGAUUAAAGCUGAGGCGCUUAAAGAUGGUCGUGCGUCUGAUUAGCUAGUUGGUAGGGUAACGGCCUACCAAGGCGACGAUCAGUAGGGGGCGUGAGAGCGUGGCCCCCCACACGGGUACUGAGACACGGACCCGACUCCUACGGGAGGCAGCAGUAAGGAAUAUUGGGCAAUGGACGGAAGUCUGACCCAGCCAUCCCGCGUGCAGGAAGAAUGCCCUAUGGGUUGUAAACUGCUUUUGUUUGGGAAGAAAUGUACUUUUUCAAGAGUAUUUGACGGUACCAGACGAAUAAGCACCGGCUAACUCCGUGCCAGCAGCCGCGGUAAUACGGAGGGUGCAAGCGUUAUCCGGAAUCACUGGGUUUAAAGGGUGCGUAGGCGGCCAGAUAAGUCAGAGGUGAAAGUUUCCGG